UGUUCCGGCGAGAUCCGGCUCAAAUUAAGCCCUGGUCGAUAUUGAUCUCAUACCGAUACAAAAAUCCAACACUUUAUUGCAUAAUGAACUACAUAUGAAAAAGACUGCACUGCAAAAACUGAUUUCUAAGAAAGUAAAAACAAUCCUUUUUAAACAUUUUUCUUUUUAGUCCAAACAGAUUAAAAAAAAUCCCCAGAAAAAUAACAUUACUUAAAAUUAGCUAAAAAUUCUUAACUAUGAUCCAGAUUUUCUAGUUUUGAGUAAAACAAAAUCUGCCAGAGAGGUAAGCGGUAAGAGGUAAAAAGUUGCUUGGCUAGAAUUUGUAAAACUAGCAAAUAAAUUGAUUGUUUUUUUACUUAACUUGAGCAAAACCUUGCGAGACUUCAUAACUGCUGCCUUUUAACUAUGAACUGCUUUAAAUUCCCUCCAAAUUGACGGUCAGUCGAAACAACUGAAAAUUUGCGAUACGUACUGGAACAGAGCACGUUGCUCUUUUGCCGCUGACCGCUCCUGCAUGUCGCCUCCUGUGGGUCGAACCCUUAAUAAACACUAGAAAUCCAAGAGGCCUUUGCAGCGCUUUGCUGCCCGGGCCUAAUUAAAAGACAACUUAGAUGUGUUUUUCCUUUUUCUUUCUUAUUCUAAUGCUUUGCUGGAGUAUUAGAUCGAGAGCAAAAUAAUGUGAUCAAAGCAUCCCUAGUUGUUGCAUUUUGCAUUUUGUCCUGUUCUCUCUGAGCCUCAGUGGAUAUACCAGGGACUGUCUUCUACAUUUGCCAAUUGUAAAACUUAAAAAGGAGUCUGUUAAGCUGUGUUAAACACUGUUUACUGUGUUUUUAUUUAUUUAUUUUGUAAAAAGUUUAAUUGUGCAUUUUGUUCAUCUCAAUUCAUCAGGUUACAACAACUCCUGCUGAUGCAGAGGAACAGUUCGUCCUCCCAAGCUCCCCAAGGCUCAUCGCACUUGGAGACACUAUGUGGUCUGCGAACAAGUGGAUGCUAUCCAUAGAGGGCAGAGUUGUAAUCCCACUUUUACCUCCCAUACUGGAUUUUACAACUGCCUUGGCUGUCCUGUUUGCCAGUUUCUAUGUAUUCAACAUAGAGUAUCAGGUGGAAGCAGUCACAACACUGGAAUUCGUUCAGAGGUUCCUUGCCAGGAUCAAUCCAAAUUCCAUCAAGUGCACAGCCAAGGUCCAGACGAGCAGAAAAACUGGCAGAACUGUGAAGAGAAAGACAACGGAUAUAAAUCCACGCGUUGUUUCAUUCAUGAACGCCUUCUCUGCAUUUGACUGGCAAAACAGCUAGCUUAAGGAUGUUGCUGUGGAGCAGCCCUACAGAACUGAUGGACUGGGUGAGGGACCCUAAGAGGCAAGGAGUCUGUACCAAGAGUACAAAUUUUUUUUUACAUCGCGGUAUGGAAAAAUAGUGUUUUUUGUUGACAUGUCAAUGCCACUGUUUUGACUGUUUUAAGGUUAUUGAGGUUCGUAAUAUUGCAAUAGUUCACAACAUGUUCUAGAAACACAAUGGUGAUCAUGUAUCAUUAUUUAUCUGGAUACUUCUAUCCAUUGUUUUAAGUAGUUUUUGUGUUCUUUGAAUACAUAAAUGUUCACAGCAUGUAUACAAAGAUGAUGACAUGUUAUUGCCUGUUUUUAUAGAUAUGGCUAUGGCUAGUUGUAUUGUAAUGUGUGUACAACAUGUUCUAAGAACUUAAUGAUGAUUAUACUUUUUUGCCAAUGUUAUCUGUGGAUAUUUAUAUCCAUUGUUAUAGAAAUAAAUGGGCAAAUGUAACUUUUGUUGUCCUAAUUUAUUUAGUAAGAUACAGCAUAACAUAAAUCAAAAGAACACCUGCAAUAUUUUAACUUUAAAAGACAGUAAUGCAAUUUUUACUAUACAGUUAAAGUACUAUUUUUUAGCCAAAAAUACUAAACUUGGAAUUUACUGUUAUUUCAUUUAUAGUUAAAACACCAAUGGUGUAAUCACAAGCGCAGCAAUUGAAAAAUUAAAUUUAUUUUACAGUGAA